AUCUCAGGGCUGCCAGUCUUGGGAAUUAACAAAUAAAUAAAAAACAUUCAGAAAGUUGAUCAACUUUUGUAAAAUGAAAUACUAAAAUUGGUCUCUUUUUGGAGAAGACUCGUUUAUAAUAAUAUUGAUACAAUCACCCAGCUUAGUCUGGCAGUUUUAGUAGCUACACUGGGGUGCAUAUAUUAACAAUCGAGCAGCCUGAAAUAUGAUCAUUCCACGGCCUCUAAUCAAUUUAACUUGAUACAGAGACUUUCCUUCUUUAUAUUUGGUGAGGUAUUUCUUUCCACUUUGUCAAUGAAGUUGUGAUAGCAUUGUACUAUAUUGAUGUAUCACAAAUCUAAUGGAGGUGAAGAAGAAAUAUAGGUAUGAAUUACGAACUUCAAAUAUUUCACCAGAGGAGAUGCACUCGUGUCAGGAAGUGGUUUCCACAUUCAAUGUGAACUCAAUGCCUACCUUUUCACGAAUAAACGAUGGAGUGGAGAUAGACUGGAUGGUUGGAGCCAAUCCAGGAAAGUUAGUGAAGAGGUUACAAGAUUCUCUAUCAUCAGUGCUUCCCACAAAUCAGGCUCCCCCCACGUCGGCGGAUAACCCGGAUCGGAACCUCUUCGCCCCCCAACCCUCGGGCGGAUAACCUAGACCGGAACCUCUUAUAGUUUAUAGUAAAAUAAAGGAAUAAAGGAGAAAGCAGGAAAUGAGACGAAGAAACAGAAAAGGUUAAUGGAUUGGAAGAACAAGAAAGUGGCAUUGUGACAUUAUUGUUUUGAUGACAAUAUAUUUUUUUGCUUCUCAUCUAGAGUCAUAUGAUUCGAUUUGCAUUGGGAUGCUUAUAUAGUCAAGUAUGUUUCUUCUUCUUUAAAGCUACAAAGUUUAAUACUAUGUUUAACUUUUUUUUACUCUACAAACUCUCUUAUUUAUUUGCUUUAUACUCUUAUUGUUUGGUACCAUUUGAAAUGAAGAGGAGGUUAUAUAUUGGCAACAUGCAUACGUUUUUAUAAAAACAAAGCCCUAUUUCAUCAACAGAUUUUAUUUAAAUUUCAACGUAGAUAUGUAUUUUUCUCAUUACCUAGGAAUGACAGUUUUAUUUGUAUUAUCUAUGGUUAGUACAUUUUUAUUAGUAUUGUCUUAAAGUAAUUUUGUCUGUUUAAGUAUGAAGGAAGCAAUGUGAUUUGGCAUAAUGGUACUCCUACGAAGGCGGGCUUUGGAGUCAGAUAACUAAUGAAUUUCAUGGAAUCAUCUUUUUAAAGGAUCAUAAUGUAAAUUUCCUUGAGGAAUUCUUGUUAAGAGGAUAUGAUGGAUAACCGACAGGUUUUCAACGAGCUACAAACUACAGGCUACUAAUAUUUAGACUGAGAAGAUGCACACGUGUCAGGUACAGCCUGUCUUUGAAUCUGAUGAUAAUGGAAAGAUGCAAAGCUUCUAUAUUCUCGAGGACUAUGUAGAUCGAGGAUUGACAAAGUUGAUUCGUCCAUUGUGUAAUGCUCACUUACUAAAUCUUCAAAGAGGGGGAUUGUUGAUGGUACGAAACAUGCGCAAGAAAAUGAAGUCCGCAUUAAGAUAUAUAUUCCUAAAAAGAAUUCCUCGACGUGAGGCUCCAUAUCGAUCUUUGGUUUUUGAUAUGUUCUUAAAAUGCAUGAUAUUAUGCUACUGCAGUGUGUUAAUACAUGCCGCCCUUGGCUAUUGAAACAUUUUGUUUGACAUCUAUAUAAUUAUUAUUAUGUGGCCUAGGGUUUCUUGUGCUAA